rnacentral:lncRNA from 1 species
AAGGCCACUGAGAAACCAGAGCAGAAAACCAAGGCUCCCAAACACAGGCAGACGGUGGGUCUCAUGAUCACAGAGUAGCGCAAGGGAUGGCAGAUGGCCACAUACCUGUCAUAGCCCAUCAGGGUAAGGAGGAAACAAUGGCUGCAACCCAAGCCUAGGAAGAAGAACAUCUGGGCCCGACAGCCCGCGAUGGAGAUGGCCUGGCUCUCCAUCAGCAGAUGAGCCAGCAUAUUGGGGAUGGUGACCAGUGUGUAGCAGGUCUCAGAGAGGGAGAGCACGGCCAGGAAGCGGUACAUAGGUGUGUGGAGAGUGCGAUCCACCUGGAUGAUGGUGAUGAUGGUGGCAUUGCCACUGAGUGUGACCAGAUCCUGGCUAAAGCCUGGACAUGAGCCUGCACUUGUCCUCAGAAGCUCACCUCUCCCCCAGCUCCCACCAGGUUGCCGCUUUCCAGCCACAGCUCAAAAGACAUGAAUGUAUCUUCUUCCCCAUCUCUCUAUUCCAGGGAGACUGACAGCUUGCUUGAUCUGUUGCUUUGCUAUUAAACUCUAGUCUAAUUGUGUUUGAGCUUCCUUCUGAGACCAUUUCUAAAUCCUUUUGUUGUUGAAACAAAGGCCCACCCAGGGAAGAAGCCCACUCUACUCA